rnacentral:rRNA from 1 species
UACGGGGGGGGCAAGCGUUGUUCGGAAUUACUGGGCGUAAAGGGCUCGUAGGCGGCCAACUAAGUCGGAUGUGAAAUCCCCAGGCUUAACCUGGGAACUGCAUCCGAUACUGGAUGGCUUGAAUCCGGGAGAGGGAUGCAGAAUUCCAGGUGUAGCGGUGAAAUGCGUAGAUAUCUGGAGGAAUACCGGUAGCGAAGGCGGCAUCCUGGACCGGCAUUGACGCUGAGGAGCGAAAGCUAGGGGAGCAAACGGG